rnacentral:sRNA from 1 species
AGCCAAUGAGGACAUUG